GAAUUCACUAGUGAUUCAGGCCUAACACAUGCAAGUCGAGCGGUAGAGAGAAGAUUACUUCUCUUGAGAACGGCGGACGGGUGAGUAAUGCCUAGGAAUCUGCCUGGUAGUGGGGGAUAACGUUCGGAAACGGACGCUAAUACCGCAUACGUCCUACGGGAGAAAGCAGGGGACCUUCGGGCCUUGCGCUAUCAGAUGAGCCUAGGUCGGAUUAGCUAGUUGGUGAGGUAAUGGCUCACCAAGGCUACGAUCCGUAACUGGUCUGAGAGGAUGAUCAGUCACACUGGAACUGAGACACGGUCCAGAUCACUACGGGAGGCAGCAGUGGGGAAUAUUGGACAAUGGGCGAAAGCCUGAUC
rnacentral:rRNA from 1 species